AAGACUGAAUUCAUCUGGACCCGAUUCGAAACACACAUGAAAAUUUAUAAUACCGAAAUGAAGUCUAGUUUCAAAACUCAAAAAGCAUGAUAACCCACAGAAAUAACUCGUAGCUGAACAGUUAUCCGAAUGUCCAUGUCUAACCGAUUCAUAAGUAAAUAAAAAAAAUUGUUAACCAUUUUGAAUUCUUAUCACAAAUAGAGUGGUUUCAUUCAAAUAUGUCGAAUUAUUAUAGUUAAUAUGUAAAUAAUCCUGGCAAAAUAUUAUAGUAAAUAUAAUUAAUGAGAUAGUUAAAAAGUAAGAAAAUGAAUGUAAAAGAUAAAAUAAAAAAAAUUGAAAACAAAUAAGUUUUGUUUUUCAUGUCACUAU
rnacentral:lncRNA from 1 species